GCUGGGCACAGUGGUGCAUGCCUGUAAUCCCAGCAGCUUGGGAGGCUGAGGCAGGAGAAUUGCAAGUUCAAAGCCAGCCUCAG
rnacentral:sRNA from 1 species